UGGGGAAUUUUGGACAAUGGGGGAAACCCUGAUCCAGCCAUCCCGCGUGUGCGAUGAAGGCCUUCGGGUUGUAAAGCACUUUUGGCAGGAAAGAAACGUCGCGGGUUAAUACCCCGCGAAACUGACGGUACCUGCAGAAUAAGCACCGGCUAACUACGUGCCAGCAGCCGCGGUAAUACGUAGGGUGCAAGCGUUAAUCGGAAUUACUGGGCGUAAAGCGUGCGCAGGCGGUUCGGAAAGAAAGAUGUGAAAUCCCAGAGCUUAACUUUGGAACUGCAUUUUUAACUACCGGGCUAGAGUGUGUCAGAGGGAGGUGGAAUUCCGCGUGUAGCAUGAAAUGCGUAGAUAUGCGGAGGAACACCGGAUGGCGAAGGCAGCCUCCUGGGAUAACACUGACGCUCAUGCACGAAAGCGUGGGGAGCAAACAGGAUUAGAUACCCUGGUAGUCCACGCCCUAAACGAUGUCAACUAGCUGUUGGGGCCUUCGGGCCUUGGUAGCGCAGCUAACGCGUGAAGUUGACCGCCUGGGGAGUACGGUCGCAAGAUUAAAACUCAAAUGAAUUGAC
rnacentral:rRNA from 1 species